rnacentral:lncRNA from 1 species
UAAUUUCUAAGUAUUGCUGAUUCUAGUGUUAUGUGUGUCCAUGUCUUCAAUAAUGAAUAAGUAAACAGGUUCAAGAUCUGUCCUAGCUUUGGAAUUCAGAUUACAUGGUUUGUUAUAUUGCUGAUAAAUGUUUUUUUUAGCAGAGUAAAUAUCUUUUUUUUCUGAUUUAAAAACGUAAUUGCAACUAGAAGUGAGAUGAUAUGUAGAUUUUUG